GCCUGGGUGGCUCAGUUGGUGAAGCAUCUGACUUCGGCUCAGGUCAUGGUCUCAUGUCAUGGGUUCGAGUCCCGUGUCAGGCU